rnacentral:rRNA from 1 species
AUUGAACGCUGGCGGCAUGCUUUACACAUGCAAGUCGAACGGUAACAGGCCUUCGGGUGCUGACGAGUGGCGAACGGGUGAGUAAUGCAUCGGAACGUGCCCAGAGGUGGGGGAUAACGCAGCGAAAGCUGUGCUAAUACCGCAUGUGAUCUGAGGAUGAAAGCGGGGGACCAGGCAGCAAUGUUUGGCCUCGCGCCUUUGGAGCGGCCGAUGUCAGAUUAGGUAGUUGGUGGGGUAAAGGCCUACCAAGCCGACGAUCUGUAGCUGGUCUGAGAGGACGACCAGCCACACUGGGACUGAGACACGGCCCAGACUCCUACGGGAGGCAGCAGUGGGGAAUUUUGGACAAUGGGCGCAAGCCUGAUCCAGCAAUGCCGCGUGCGGGAACAAGGCCUUCGGGUUGUAAACCGCUUUUGUACGGAACGAAAAGGCUCUGGCUAAUACCUGGGGCUGAUGACGGUACCGUAAGAAUAAGCACCGGCUAACUACGUG